AACGAACGCUGGCGGCAGGCUUAACACAUGCAAGUCGAACGCCCCGCAAGGGGAGUGGCAGACGGGUGAGUAACGCGUGGGAACAUACCCUUUUCUACGGAAUAGCUCUGGGAAACUGGAAUUAAUACCGUAUACGCCCUACGGGGGAAAGAUUUAUCACCAUUGGAUGAACCCGCGUCGGAUUAGCUAGUUGGUGUGGUAAAGGCGCACCAAGGCGACGAUCCGUAGUUGGUCUGAGAGGAUGAUCAGCCACACUGGGACUGAGACACGGCCCAGACUCCUACGGGAGGCAGCAGUGGGGAAUAUUGGACAAUGGGCGCAAGCCUGAUCCAGCCAUGCCGCGUGAGUGAUGAAGGCCUUAGGGUUGUAAAGCUCUUUCGCCGACGAAGAUAAUGACGGUAGUCGGAGAAGAAGCCCCGGCUAACUUCGUGCCAGCCACCGCAGUAAAAC
rnacentral:rRNA from 1 species